rnacentral:tRNA from 1 species
GCGCCUGUAGCUCAGCGGAUAGAGCACCGGUCUUCGGAACCGGUGGUCGUGGGUUCGAAUCCCUCCAGGCGCG